UACGGAGGGUGCAAGCGUUAUCCGGAUUUACUGGGUUUAAAGGGUGUGUAGGCGGACUUUUAAGUCAGCGGUGAAAUCUCCGGGCUCAACCCGGAAACUGCCAUUGAUACUAUUGGUCUUGAAUAUUGUGGAGGUGGGCGGAACGGGUCAUGUAGCGGUGAAAUUCGUAGAUAUUGGGAAGAACACCCGUGGCGAAGGCGGCCAUCUGGACCGGUACUGACGCUAAGGCGCGACAGCGUGGGGAGCAAACAGG
rnacentral:rRNA from 1 species